UGAGUAACCUGCCCUUCACUCUGGGAUAACGCUGGGAAACCGGUGCUAAUACUGGAUACGACCUACUCGGGCAUCCGAUGUGGGUGGAAAGAUUUAUUGGUGGGGGAUGGACUCGCGGCCUAUCAGCUUGUUGGUGAGGUAAUGGCUUACCAAGGCGACGACGGGUAGCCGGCCUGAGAGGGCGAUCGGCCACACUGGGACUGAGACACGGCCCAGACUCCUACGGGAGGCAGCAGUGGGGAAUAUUGCACAAUGGGCGAAAGCCUGAUGCAGCGACGCCGCGUGAGGGAUGAAGGCCUUCGGGUUGUAAACCUCUUUCAGCAGGGAAGAAGCGGUCGGGUUUUCUUGGUCGUGACGGUACCUGCAGAAGAAGCACCGGCUAACUACGUGCCAGCAGCCGCGGUAAUACGUAGGGUGCAAGCGUUGUCCGGAAUUAUUGGGCGUAAAGAGCUUGUAGGCGGUUUGUCGCGUCUGCUGUGAAAUUUCGGGGCUCAACCCCGAACUUGCAGUGGGUACGGGCAGACUAGAGUGUGGUAGGGGAGACUGGAAUUCCUGGUGUAGCGGUGAAAUGCGCAGAUAUCAGGAGGAACACCGAUGGCGAAGGCAGGUCUCUGGGCCACUACUGACGCUGA
rnacentral:rRNA from 1 species